rfam:Orientia tsutsugamushi str. TT76 ut76.contig.133_1, whole genome shotgun sequence.
CAUGUUGUUGUACCAAUAGAAGCCUACUGGUAUAUGCAAUGGAGUGAUCCUAUGUAUGAAGCUAUCAGGACAAUACAUUCAUGGUUUAAGAAAAAUUGACUAACUAGAAAAAUAAGUUAUUGAAUAU